GCACCCUGCCGUACGGCUGCCGUACCAGCGAUGAUGAUUUUCUGCAACGGGUACAACGGAAGGACCCGCUGUACCAGCGGCGUUUGCCGACCCCUGGUGUGGACUGUACACUUAUGGCUGCUUGCAAAACAAAUUGCGGGUGCGAGGCGAAGUGCACUCUUGCGUACGGCUUGCACCUUGCAAAGUCGCAGGUCGCGAGAAAUCGCCCAUCUUUACAUGCGAGCGCAUACGUGAUUUCGUUUUCCGCACUUGUCAUAUCCGACACGUAAGUGUAAAUGCAUUGGAGUGGCAUGCGGCAUAUAUGGCUUCGUCUGCGUCAGGAACGCCUGGCCCAUGGCCACACACAAAAGGAAAUGCCGAAUCUUCUUUUCGGCCUAGUAUAGAAAUGCCUUCGCCUGUCAAGGAGAGGUCUCAGUGGUAUCCUUGUUGUCGCCCGCUCCUGCUUCACUGUAGGCUUCUUCUCAAGCACGCACGCUGGGCCCUAUGCCCAACGGUGUCGCGAUAUAGUUGACAAUAAUCAGUCAGCUCUCGAGUGGUAAAUCUGUGUACUGAGAGUUCCGGACUGGAUGCUAAGUGUGACCGAUAUCAAAAGCCGUUAUGCAUCAAAAGAUGGAAAGAUGCAAAUUACAACGAAAACCUGUUGUACUUUUAGUACUUCAGUAAAGGGCCGUCCCUAGUAGGCCACUAAAAAUCAUUAUGAUAAAAGNGCCAUGGUUUCCAUGGACCUUAUUUUUACUUUUAGGGGAGCGAGGCACUAAAAGGUGGCACCAAAAGCCAAGGGAAACAGGCCCAAAG
rnacentral:lncRNA from 1 species